GAUGAACGCUGGCGGCGUGCCUAAUACAUGCAAGUCGAGCGAACAGACGAGGAGCUUGCUCCUCUGACGUUAGCGGCGGACGGGUGAGUAACACGUGGAUAACCUACCUAUAAGACUGGGAUAACUUCGGGAAACCGGAGCUAAUACCGGAUAAUAUAUUGAACCGCAUGGUUCAAUAGUGAAAGACGGUUUUGCUGUCACUUAUAGAUGGAUCCGCGCCGCAUUAGCUAGUUGGUAAGGUAACGGCUUACCAAGGCAACGAUGCGUAGCCGACCUGAGAGGGUGGUCGGCCACACUGGAACGGAGACACGGUCCAGACUCCUACGGGAGGCAGCAGUAGGGAAUCUUCCGCAAUGGGCGAAAGCCUGACGGAGCAACGCCGCGUGAGUGAUGAAGGUCUUCGGAUCGUAAAACUCUGUUAUUAGGGAAGAACAAAUGUGUAAGUAACUAUGCACGUCUUGACGGUACCUAAUCAGAAAGCCACGGCUAACUACGUG
rnacentral:rRNA from 1 species